rnacentral:misc_RNA from 1 species
GAUGAAGAACGUAGAGAAAUGCGAUAAGUAGUGUGAAUUGCAGAAUUCAGUGAAUCAUCGAAUCUUUGAACGCACAUUGCGCCCCUUGGUAUUCCAUGGGGCAUGCCUGUUCGAGCGUCAUUUGUACCCUCCAGCCCUGCUGGGUAUUGGGCGUUUUGUUCCGCUACGCGCGUGAACUCGCCUCAAAUGCAUUGGCAGCCCGCCGUCCCGUGUGGGAGCGCAGCACAUUUUGCGCUCUCCGCUGCUGACGGUGGCAUCCACAAGUCUACCAUUUUACGCUUGACCUCGGAUCAGGUAGGGAUACCCGCUGAACUUAAGCAUAUCAAUAAGCGGAGGA